rnacentral:lncRNA from 1 species
CCAGCUUGUGCUUCAUACAGUCUGGCAUUUUAGAUGAUAUACUCUGCAUAUAAGUUAAAUAAGCAGGGUGACAAUAUAUAGCCUUGAUGUACUACUUUCCCAAUUUGGAACCAGCCCAUUGUUCCAUGUCCAAUUCUAACUGUUGCUUCUUGACCAACAGUUAGAACCGACCAUGGUACUGUUUGUAGUGGUUGCCAAUGUCUGUGGUAUUGGCACUCCCACCAUUUCAAUUUCAACUUACCUUUUGGUAUCACUGAAUGCAGAAUUGGAAAGAGGGGCUAAAAAUUGGCUUCCAGGAGCAGCAUGGAUGGACUUUCACACACCAGUAACCGUUGAUGGGAGAGACACCCCAUGGCUCAGAUUUACGAAAAUAUGCAUCAGAUUUGAAACCGCUUACCUGAAAUGAGUAUGCCAUUAUAUCAGAGCUGUAAGUGAGAAACAUGUUAUUUUUCUUCUUUUACCAGUGAAACAAGUUUUUGUUUUUUUUUUCAGACAUAUCCUUGUAAUUUCUUUUUUUUGCAGUUCUUUCAAGUCGUUAUCUGGAAAAUUUCCUGAAAUUGCCAAGAAUCUGCCACUUUCAAUAAUAUCAACUCUGAAAGAGAGAGAGAGGCUAGGAGAGACCGUGGGGGACAGAAGUGUUGAUUGCUGCCCAUGGCCAUGCUGGUUUCUUUUCUUCCCCUGUGUAAAGACUGCUGGCUUGGUAUCUCUGGACUCUAGCAGCGCUGGAGAAGAAAUUGGGAUUGUAAAAGAAAUCUUCGUUUUCUGUAAAAAUGUCCUCAAGGAAGUUCAACUCAAUUGCCUUCCUCUGAAAAAGACGCUAAACUACGUGAUUGUUCGAUGCUCCUGGAAAGAAAUAUCUGUUUCAUUUGAAGUUUCCAUUUUACCCUUGAAACCUAGGUUUGAUGGUGUGAGAAAUGCUUGCCUUCCUUUCUUUCUCCUGGUUGAGUUACAGAGAAUCAUUAGGUGCUUAUUAGACUAAUGUGAAGGCAGAUAACACCGGUUAUGGAGCCCAUGACUCAUUUUUAAAUUUUACCAGUUCUCUUUCACUUACUGCCUAAAUUGCAGGCUUUCUUGUGACAGGUAGCUCUGAAAUAGUAGAUAUCAAAAUUUAUGACUUAAAAAAGUUAAGGUGCUUAUCUUUAGAAAAUUCCUGGUAUGAGCCAAUUACCAACCUCUUUACUUUC